CUGGCUAGGACUUCCAGUACUGAUUGCACAGAAGUGGAUCUAGCCACCCAGUGUAGCUACUGGGCUCUUGGCUUUUACUGGGGAGUGUCUUUAAAGAGUACUGUGAUGUGAUCCAUCUUCAGAUCUCUCAGCUGUGGACACUGGAACCUACUCUUGUGGAGGAAGCAGAUAUGUCACUGUGAGAUUCCCUAUGCAGAGGACCAUGUGGCAAGAAACUGAUAUGUCCUUCCAACAACCAGGCCUGAGACCUCACAAGACCCAACUGGAUCUCCCAGACGGAGCAGGCAGACCACCAUUUCUGCUGUCCCACAGCCCUCAAAGUUGUUACUCCCCGGCUCUGGAGGGUGCUCAGUGACUAAAGACUGGUGCAGACCCCCAGCACAGUGUAGCCACCCCAUGAAAAAGUGGGAACCCUCAAGAGACAAGUGAAAAAAUCUCUCUCACAACCAUUGUCAAGAUCCCAUUCCCUGCUGCCUCCAUACUGGGGAGAGAACAUAAAGCUUGAGCUCGCCCCAGACCAGUGGUAUACAGCUCAGGAGAGCCAAGGUGAGAUCUGCAACCAACACUCAAGUGAAAGAGGAGCACACACUUUCAGACCACUGAGGGGGUGCAUGACUGCAAUCGUGAGCAAAUACAGGUGAGCCAUGUGGCUGAAGAAGAGUCUACCUACUGGCCAUUAUAUUUAAGCACCAUCUACUGCAUCACAAUGUAACAUCAACAGCAAAAAUACUUUGUUAAUAUACCCCCUGGGGAACUAAGGACAAUAAUUUAACUACAAAUAAAGACCCUACUCAAAGCC